UACGGGGGGAGCAAGCGUUGUUCGGAUUUACUGGGCGUAAAGGGCGCGUAGGCGGUAGCACAAGUCAGUUGUGAAAUCUCCGGGCUUAACUCGGAACGGUCAGCUGAUACUGCUGUGCUAGAGUACAGAAAGGGCAAUCGGAAUUCUUGGUGUAGCGGUGAAAUGCGUAGAUAUCUGGAGGAACACCGGUGGCGAAGGCGGCAUCCUGGACCAACACUGACACUGAGGAGCGAAAGCCAGGGGAGCAAACGGG
rnacentral:rRNA from 1 species